AUGCCUCUUUCAGCUGUGGCCGUGCUGUUGUGCAUCAUACUGUCAGCAGAACCAUCUGAUGUCCUGCGAUGCACAGGGGAGAGACAACGCGAUGGGCAGCUCUACUUCAACAUGUCAUAUGGCCUUAAAGAGGACGUUGAUGACUGCGAGACCCAAUGGGUCAUCAAUGGAAGCGUGGCAGGGAUUUCUAAUGCUGAUGGAAAUAUUUUCUUACCCCCACUUGUAAUGGCAACAGCAAACACUGCCAUCUUAAAGACCUGCCCUGAAAAACUUGAAUGCCUGCUCAUCUGCCCCUCCGCCAGUAUCAACACUAGGGAACAGUGCUCUUGUGAUAUCACUUCUCCAACUACACUUCCUGAAGGUAAGGUCAACUGCUUAUGCUGUAGCAUUAAAUUGUAUCAAACUAUUAACAUAAAAGUACUCAAAUAAAGUGAUGCCACUGUACACUCACAAAUUUUCUGUUGGCAAAAAUUUGUAUUUUAGGCCAGCAAGCUAGUAUCCUGUUUCAGACACCAGAAUGCUAUGAAAUGCACAUGCUCAGUUUAAUUUUUUUCCAAGGUCUUUAGCCUAAAAAAAUGUGCAACAGUUUGAACAUGACUCAAGUGAACGUCAGAGAGAUUUGUCGCUCCAUUAAAAAGUCCACUCACCCAAAACUGUUGCACUUAAAAAAACUUAAAAAGAGAUCAAAAAAUAAAUCCAUUUGAAUUGAUUGGUUUAAUCCA
ensembl:lncRNA